rfam:TPA: Bos taurus chromosome 2, whole genome shotgun sequence.
UCCCUGGUGGCUCAGAUGGUAAAGCGUCUGCCUGCAAUGCGGAAGACCAGGAUUCGAUCCCUGGGUCGGAGAG